AUGCAGUGAGGGUUGAGAUUUUAGUUAUCAGAUUCAAACUUGCAUCAUUUUACCUUGUCACUUAAUUUGUUUUUAAAUAGAUAAGAUGGAAUGUGAAGAUUUAAAUUCUGUUGGUGGUGUUAUAAUAAUUAUGGCAAUGCUUCUCUAGUCUAUUAUACGUGGUCAAAUUGUUUCAUUUAAAGGGAUGAAUUGAUUAAUUCUCUCCAUUUUAUUGGCAACUUCAAAGAUCGUUCUCUUACCAUUUCAAAAUUUGAGCAAUUUAAUAGAAUGCUCACUAUCACUAUACAACCCAUGUCUGAAAACUUAUGGGUUCCUGCCGUUGAUCUGUUUCAUACUUUUGUUUAUCAUUUGGCAUGCAUUUCUAUGUAUAUAAAUACAUUUUCUGCCUCAUCUCAGUACCUGCCAUAAAUUUUUGUCAUAUUCAUGUCCUUAAGAAAGCAUAGUCUUUUUUUUUCCUUCAAUUUUUUGUUCUUUCACUUGGAAAACUGUCUUCUUCUCAUGGUUUUUUUUGCUAUGCAAGUCCAUGUUUACAAUUUUAUGACUUGUCAAGGUAUAGAUGUAACUAGGCAUGCUUACAUCCUACAAUUUGUGAACAGGAUUUUACUGAAGAUGUGUAAAGAGAUGGCAAAAAUAUCUAUCAAACAUCUAAAACCAAAUGAUUGUAUUUGUGUUUCAAGUCAUUUAGGAUCAUAUAAAAGAUGAGAAUGAAAAUCUCAAAACAUAUUACGAGCUAAUUGUGAAGGAAAUAAAUUAUGUUGUGCAACCUGGUCAAGGCCCAACUAAGAAGUUUCACAAGUCGAAGAAGAGGAAUGACUGGAUUGAUCCUCGAUGCACUGACCUACAUGUAAGAAUUUAACAAUAGAAUGACAUUGAGACCCUCUUCUACCAUAUCCGAAGCUACAUCAAGAGCACGUGAUAAGAAAAUGGAGAUCUUGAUAUGUUUUGUUAAUUAAGAUUUUAUUUAGUUUGAAUUUUAAUUGUUGGUUUGGAUAGUAUAUAUAUUGUUGGAUUA